UCCAAAUUCCUAGUCCAGACUUCAGCAAAACCUGUGCCAAGGUUUCAUGUCUCUCUUCAACUACCACUGAGGAGCUGAAUUAACAGACAAGACAGAUAGUGACAACUCGAGCAAGGGGUCACCUUCUCCGGCCACUUUCAGGGAAGGUCAGAGUCUAACAGUGAGCUGCUGAGCUCCCCCUGGGCACUUAGCCCUUCACCAAUAUCAUUAAACAUCGACCUCUCAGCUGUUGCCUUCGCAUUUUACAAAUAAGAAAACCCAAGCUCAGAGAGGUGCAGAAAGUGACCCAAGGUCCUAUAACAAAUACAUUUUGAAAAGGGAAGGGAUCAAGGGAAAAUGCAAAAAGAAAUUUUUUUAGGUCCCAUCUCUCACAUAUAGAAAAACAGACAAAAGUUGGAGAACUGCAGACCUCUGAACAACGAGCCUUAGGGUAUAAUCGAACUCUGCUGGAGAGCCUCUAGCCUACUAAAGAUUCUUCUGGCUGCUCAAUCUAUGGUGUUUGGAUUUAUUUUGGAUUUAUUUGUUCUUAGAUUUUUCAACCUAUAUUAGCAUGUAAUGCACAAGUUGCCAAGGAUGUUAUCAACAAUAAAAUUUGCAGAAUAAUCCAUGCCUUAAAAUGAAAGUAG
ensembl:lncRNA